rnacentral:misc_RNA from 1 species
UUUUUUUUUUUUUUGGAUGUGUGUAGCAAAGAACAAAGUGGAUGUAAUUAGACGUUAUGAAUAAUAAAGAUGCAAUUCCAAUGUGAAGAAAAAUAGUGGAUCAGCAUAUUCUAGUGUGCAGUGGCCUUCAGAUAUGCACUUCAUAUUUUUGACAAUCAUGGAACAAAACUCCAUCCUAAUUUGAGCUGGUGACAGCAAUUUUAAAGAUGUUCAAAGCAAAAUCUUCUCAUGGUCAAUGUAUUGCAUCUGUCUUCAGAUUAAAUAUCCUUUUAUAGUAGCAGAGAGCAAGUCACAGUAAGGAAACUUCUAGGAUUCCUUGCAGCCAUGGCCUUUUAACUCGACACUCAUGGCAUUGAGGUACCGAACAUAAAGAAAUUGAUCAAAACAAAAAGUGCAAUACAACACAGGUAUUAAAUGUGAGAUUGAAAAUAAGAAUGUUGAAUGGUUUCAACAUUAAAUCAACAGCAACUUAAGAAACAAAAAUCAAAUCAAAGUGUUUUCUCUAAGUAGAACCUG